GUCCUGGUGUUAAAGAGGCAGUUAAAUCUUGUUUAGCUGCGGGAAUUACUGUAAGGAUGGUCACAGGGGACAAUAUCCACACGGCCAAAGCCAUUGCUAAGGAAUGUGGUAUACUAACUGAUGAUGGUUUGGCCAUUGAAGGCCCAGAAUUCCGCAACAAAAGUCCUGAUGAAAUGAGGCAAAUAAUUCCUAGAAUUCAGGUUAUGGCUCGAUCAUCCCCUACUGACAAGCACGUGCUGGUAAAGAAUUUGAGAGGCAUGUUUAAAGAAGUUGUUGCAGUUACUGGUGAUGGCACAAAUGAUGCUCCUGCCUUGCAUGAGUCAGAUAUUGGACUUGCUAUGGGUAUAGCAGGAACAGAGGUUGCGAAAGAAAGUGCUGAUAUUGUAGUGC
rnacentral:misc_RNA from 1 species